rnacentral:rRNA from 1 species
UGGGGAAUAUUGGGCAAUGGGCGCAAGCCUGACCCAGCAACGCCGCGUGAGGGAAGAAGGUCUUCGGAUUGUAAACCUCUGUCCUUGGGGACGAAAAAAAUGACGGUACCCAAGGAGGAAGCUCCGGCUAACUACGUGCCAGCAGCCGCGGUAAUACGUAGGGAGCAAGCGUUGUCCGGAAUUACUGGGCGUAAAGGGUGCGUAGGCGGUCAGGCAAGUCAGAUGUGAAAUCCCCGGGCUUAACUCGGGUGGUGCAUUUGAAACUGCUUGACUUGAGUGCAGGAGAGGAAAGCGGAAUUCCUAGUGUAGCGGUGAAAUGCGUAGAUAUUAGGAGGAACACCAGUGGCGAAGGCGGGUUUCUGGACUGUAACUGACGCUGAGACGCGAAAACGUGGGGAGGAAAAA